rnacentral:rRNA from 1 species
UACGAAGGGUGCAAGCGUUACUCGGAAUUACUGGGCGUAAAGCGUGCGUAGGCGGUGAGUUAAGUCUGAUGUGAAAUCCCCGGGCUCAACCUGGGAAUGGCAUUGGAUACUGGCUAGCUAGAGUACGGUAGAGGGUGGUGGAAUUCCCGGUGUAGCGGUGAAAUGCGUAGAGAUCGGGAGGAACAUCUGUGGCGAAGGCGGCCACCUGGACCAGUACUGACGCUGAGGCACGAAAGCGUGGGGAGCAAACAGG